CGUGUAGGCGGACUCGCAAGUCGGUUGUGAAAUCCCUGGGCUUAACCUAGGAACUGCAUCCGAAACUGCAUGUCUUGAGUAAUGGAGAGGGUGGCGGAAUUCCCGGUGUAGAGGUGAAAUUCGUAGAUAUCGGGAGGAACAUCAGUGGCGAAGGCGGCCACCUGGACAUUUACUGACGCUGAGACGCGAAAGCGUGGGGAGCAAACAGGAUUAGAUACCCUGGUAGUCC
rnacentral:rRNA from 1 species